rnacentral:lncRNA from 1 species
CCUUGUUUCUUGGGAAUUACACAUUGAACUGUUUGGGAGCAGAGGAGGUUUUGGCUGCAACUUUCUUUCAAAAGGUUCAGAAAAAAUAGUAUGUAUGUACAGAGAAUGAUAAGACAAACGUGGUAGAAUGCUAACAUCUGAGGAAUCUGAGUGAAGGCUCUAUGGGGGUUGUUUGUAAUAUUCUUGCAACUCUUGUACAUCUGAAAUGAUUUCAAAAUGAACACGUUUUUCAAUGUGCUAUGAGUUUGAACUGAAUAUGUGUACUUGGCUCUUUCUGACAAUGAAUGGUUGGACUCCCCACCCCUACAGGGAAGGGACUGGGGCUGUCUUGUCUCUGGGAGUGUUCUGAGGUGGGUGGACCAUCUACUCUGGCCCACUCUGACACAUGCAGAUCCACAGAGAGAUGUAUGUAGUAAGAAGUAUCUUGGUCUAUUGUGCUGUUGCAGAGGGGAAACACUUAAAUCAAAUCAAAGUUCAUCUUUUAGAACGCUGACUGACACUGGCCCAUUGCUUUUGUCUCUAAUUCAGCUUUUGGGUAUGAUGCUGCCACCGUCACAGUCUCCUGAAAUCGAUGAUUCCAGAGCACGGAGCUUCCGUAUGACAGAAGGCUAUACAGGGUAGCAACAAUAAAGCCCUUUAGCCACAGAGCCUUGCAAUGAAGGGCAAGAACAGCAAGUCAUGAGUCUUCACCACCAUGUGAAUAAGCUGCCGACCCACAGCGCCACAGGAACACAGGCUCUGAGCCCACAUGCCCACAGUGCAGAUAAUGACCUCAGCCUUCAAAGGGGAGAAAGAAGUGCCCCCCAAAACAGUCCUUUGAAACCCUCCUUCGUCAUUUGUGACAGCACAAUUUGCUGUUUCGUUUCAGUUUCUUGUGAAGACGCCUUCUGAAUCAGUGCUCUAUUUUGAGCACAAAGUCAAGAUGUCUGUGGCUUCAGCCAAAGAGGUUCACACGGAAGACCUGCUGCGCUGGUUGCUGAUCCAAGCCUGGACCGUUCCUGAAGCUCUUCUGGGCAAGAGCAUCCCUAGAAUGAUGCUUCCAACGAGCGCCCGAGAGGCUCCUCUCCUGGACAUGACUGAGUUGCACCCAUCGCCCGCCGUGGCACCCACUGGAACCUUGUACAGUAGUGGCUUCUCACAGAUGCAGCUGCACUUCUCCACUGGAGGGCCCAGGGAGCCUGACUCACACAUGGGACCUGGGUCUGAGGUGUAUCCUAACUUUCUUCUGGAGGCCUCCAGUGGGGCUGUGCCACUACUGCCCACAGUGAUAAAGCCUGUAAAGCACCCUGUGCAUCAACUUACUUCUCUUCUCUGUUUCACAUCCACGCCCCUCCCAGCGCUUCCCAGCAUCAGUACUUAA